AGAGUUUGAUCCUGGCUCAGGAUGAACGCUGGCGGCGCGCCUAACACAUGCAAGUCGAACGGCACCCCUCUCCGGAGGGAAGCGAGUGGCGAACGGCUGAGUAACACGUGGAGAACCUGCCCCCUCCCCCGGGAUAGCCGCCCGAAAGGACGGGUAAUACCGGAUACCCCGGGGUGCCGCAUGGCACCCCGGCUAAAGCCCCGACGGGAGGGGAUGGCUCCGCGGCCCAUCAGGUAGACGGCGGGUGACGGCCCACCGUGCCGACAACGGGUAGCCGGGUUGAGAGACCGACCGGCCAGAUUGGGACUGAGACACGGCCCAGACUCCUACGGGAGGCAGCAGUGGGGAAUCUUGCGCAAUGGGGGGAACCCUGACGCAGCGACGCCGCGUGCGGGACGGAGGCCUUCGGGUCGUAAACCGCUUUCAGCAGGGAAGAGUCAAGACUGUACCUGCAGAAGAAGCCCCGGCUAACUACGUGCCAGCAGCCGCGGUAAUACGUAGGGGGCGAGCGUAUNNNAUCAUGGGCGUAAGCGCNCGUAGGCGGCCCGGCAGGNCGGGGUCGAAGCGGGGGGCUCACACCCCCCCGGAAGCCCCGNNCUCCGCGGCUGGGUCCGGUAGGGGAGGGUGGAACACCCGGUGUAGCGGUGGAAUGCGCAGGUAUCGGGUGGAACACCGGUGGCGAAGGCGGCCCUCUGGGCCCGAGACCGACGCUGAGGCGCGAAAGCUGGGGGAGCGAACAGGAUUAGAUACCCUGGUAGUCCCAGCCGUAAACGAUGGACGCUAGGUGUGGGGGGACGAUCCCCCCCGUGCCGCAGCCAACGCAUUAAGCGUCCCGCCUGGGGAGUACGGCCGCAAGGCUAAAACUCAAAGGAAUUGACGGGGGCCCGCACAAGCAGCGGAGCAUGUGGCUUAAUUCGAAGCAACGCGAAGAACCUUACCAGGGCUUGACAUAUGGGUGAAGCGGGGGAGACCCCGUGGCCGAGAGGAGCCCAUACAGGUGGUGCAUGGCUGUCGUCAGCUCGUGUCGUGAGAUGUUGGGUUAAGUCCCGCAACGAGCGCAACCCCCGCCGCGUGUUGCCAUCGGGUGAUGCCGGGAACCCACGCGGGACCGCCGCCGUCAAGGCGGAGGAGGGCGGGGACGACGUCAAGUCAUCAUGCCCCUUAUGCCCUGGGCUGCACACGUGCUACAAUGGCCGGUACAGAGGGAUGCCACCCCGCGAGGGGGAGCGGAUCCCGGAAAGCCGGCCCCAGUUCGGAUUGGGGGCUGCAACCCGCCCCCAUGAAGUCGGAGUUGCUAGUAAUCGCGGAUCAGCAUGCCGCGGUGAAUGCGUUCCCGGGCCUUGCACACACCGCCCGUC
rnacentral:rRNA from 1 species